GAGAGGCGAGCAUCGGAGUCGAUGUUGGUGCGCAGAAGGGCGUGCGGUCCCUAUUUAAGCCGUUGGUUUUGCAUAGAUUACACGGACGCACUUUACCUGUAAAGGACAUCGUCACUACGCACCCGAGCACCAGAAAUCUUCCAAAAUGUCAGACAAUCAAAGUGGAGUCAACAAGGAGUUGGAGGGAUAUGACAAGAACAAGCUGAAGAAGAGUGACACAAAAGAAAAAAACACACUUCCAACUGCAGAAAUCAUUGAACAAGAGAAGAAAUCCAAGGAAGUUGAUAAAACAACAUGAUUCCUCUCAGUCACUCCUGCCCUGUUACCUGCUCCAUCUCCAGUCAGGAGUGCGGUCCAUCAUCUCCUCCUCUGCUUCUGUUUUCUGUGCCACCAUGAUCAAUUCAAAAUGGUGUUUGGGCUGAUGCUAUGAGAAAAUAUGUAUGUAUUCCAUGGAUAAAUCUAUGCAAUGGGUGAUUUUACUGUGCUAUUUCCAUGCAGCUUAUAAUAGGGUGAAUAGAGUAAAAUGAUUUGACAGGCUAAUUUUUCAAAAUCCAGGGAAAAUAUAAAGUAUCAAUGGAAAGUAAAGCUAAUUUUUUGUUAACAAAACCACAAGUAUGCCUAUACAUUGUGCCACACAGGACAUGUUCUGAAAAAAAACCCACAAAAUUAUAUUUUUGUUCUAAUAAACUUGGUGAAAAAUGA